rnacentral:rRNA from 1 species
CUUGGUUGAUCCUGCCAGUAGUAUAUGCUUGUCUCAAAGAUUAAGUCAUGCACGUGUAAGUACACACGACCGGCACAGUGAAACUGUGAAUGGCUCAUUAAAUCAGUUAUGGUUCCUUUGAUCGCUCCAUCUGUUACUUGGAUAACUGUGGUUAUUCUAGAGCUAAAACAUGCCGACGAGCGAGAUCCUCCCAGGAGGCAUGCAUUUAUCAGACCAAGACCAAUCCGGGGCUGAUCACAUGUCCCCGUGAUGGCGACAAUGCAUUCGGAAUUCUGCCCUAUCAACUUUCGAUAGUACUUUCUGUGCCUACCGUGUAAUGGGGAAUCAGGGUUUAAUUCCGGAGAGGGAGCUUGAGAAACGGCUACCACAUCCAAGGAAGGCAGAAGGUGCACAAAUUACCCACUCCCGACUACGGGAGGCAGUGACGAAAAAUAACAAUACAGGACUCUUUCGAGGCACUGUAAUUGGAAUGUACACUUUAAAUCCUUUAACGAGUACCCAUUGGCGGGCAAGUCUGAUGCCAGCAGCCGCGGUAAUUCCAGCUCCAAUAGCGUAUACUAAAGUUGCUGCAGUUGAAAAGCUCGUAGUUGGAUCUUGGGAUCGAGCUGGCAGCUAGCUGCAUGUCGAGCUACUACCUGUUCCAGGCCCUGCCCCUCGACGCCCCCUUGAUGCACUUGACUGAGUGUCCUGGGGGCCCAAAGCGUUUACUUUGAAAAAAUUAGAGUGUUCAAAGCAGGCUGGUCAGCUGAAAACUUCAGCUAGGAAUAAUGAAAUAGGACUCUGGUUCUAUUUUGUUGGUUUUCGGAACUGGGGGCCAUGAUUAAGAGGGCCGGCCGGGGGCAUUUGUAUUGUGCCGCUACAGGUGAAAUUAUUGUAACAGCGCAAGAAGAACCAAAGUGAGAGCAUUACCCAAUAAUGUUUUCAUUAAUCAAGAACGAAAGUCUGAGGUUCGAAGACAAUCCAAUACCGUCGUAGUUCCUACCAUAAACGAUGCCGACUAGCAAUCUGCCGGCUUUCUUUCCCAUGACCCGCCAAGCAGCUUCCGGGAAACCAAAGUCUUUGGGUUCCGAGGGAGUAUGGUUGCAAAGCUGAAACUUAAAGGAAUUGACGGAAGGGCACCACCAGGAGUGGAGCCUGUGGCUUAAUGUGACUCAACACCGGAAACCUCGCCCGGACACAGAAAGGAUUGACAGAUUGAUAGCUCUUUCUUGAUUAUAUGGGUGGUGAUGCAUGGCCGUUCUUAGUUGGUGGAGUGAUUUGUCUGGUUAAUUCCAAUAACGAAUGAGUAACUAGUUGCGCGACACCCCAGUGGUUGGCGUUCAACUUCUUAGAGGGACAAGUGGUGUUCAGCCACACGAGAUCGAGCAAUAACAGGUCUGUGAUGCCCUUAGAUGUCCGGGGCUGCACGCGCGCUACACUGAUCGGAUCAGCGUGUUUCUACCCUUUGCCGACAGGUGCGGCUAACCCGCUGAACCCCGUUCGGGCUAGGGAUUGGGAUUGCAAUUAUUUCCCAUGAACAAGGAAUUCCCAGUAAGUGCGGGUCAUACGUUUGCGUUGAUUAAGUCCCUGCCCUUUGUACACACCGCCCGUCGCUACUACAGAUUGGAUGGUUUAGUGAGGUCCUCGGAUCGGCCCUGCCGGGGUCGGCAAAGGCCUUGGCAGAGCGGCAAGAAGACGAUCAAACUUGACUAUCUAGAGGAAGUAAAAGUUGUAUGGGUUGGGUUAACCUGCCAGGGACG